UAACUUUUUUCCUAGUUAAACUUUUUAAAUUUUGAUCAAGUUCAUAGAAAAAUAUAGCAACAUUUUCAACACAAAAUAAACAUAUUAUCAAAAUAUACUCGAUGUUACAUUUAAUGAAACUAACUUGGUGUUGGAGAUGUUGCUAAUUUUUUCUAUAAAUUUAGUCAAACCUAAAGAAGUUUGACUAGGAAAAAAGUCUA
rfam:Oryza meridionalis cultivar OR44 (W2112) chromosome 1, whole genome shotgun sequence.